GUUUACAACGGAACUCCCAAACCCCUGUGAACAUACCUUAAUGUUGCCUCGGCGGAUCAGCCCGCGCCCCGUAAAACGGGACGGCCCGCCAGAGGACCCAAACUCUAAUGUUUCUUAUUGUAACUUCUGAGUAAAACAAACAAAUAAAUCAAAACUUUCAACAACGGAUCUCUUGGUUCUGGCAUCGAUGAAGAACGCAGCAAAAUGCGAUAAGUAAUGUGAAUUGCAGAAUUCAGUGAAUCAUCGAAUCUUUGAACGCACAUUGCGCCCGCUGGUAUUCCGGCGGGCAUGCCUGUUCGAGCGUCAUUUCAACCCUCAAGCCCCCGGGUUUGGUGUUGGGGAUCGGCUCUGCCUUCUGGCGGUGCCGCCCCCGAAAUACAUUGGCGGUCUCGCUGCAGCCUCCAUUGCGUAGUAGCUAACACCUCGCAACUGUAACGCGGCGCGGCCAUGCCGUAAAACCCCAACUUCUGAAUGUUGACCUCGGAUCAGGUAGGAAUACCCGCUGAA
rnacentral:rRNA from 1 species